AGCAGCCGCGGUAAUUCCAGCUCCAAUAGCGUAUAUUAAAGUUGUUGCAGUUAAAAAGCUCGUAGUUGAAUUUCGGGGUCAGUAGGUUGGUCGUGCCACUGGUAUGUACUGGUCUCACUGAUUCCUCCUUCCUGAUGAGCCGUAAUGCCAUUAAUUUGGUGUUGCGGGGAAUCUGGACUGUUACUUUGAAAAAAUUAGAGUGUUUAAAGCAGGCUAACGCUUGAAUACAUUAGCAUGGAAUAAUGAAAUAGGACGUUCGGUCUUAUUUUGUUGGUUUCUAAGAUUGACGUAAUGAUUAAUAGGGAUAGUUGGGGGCAUUAGUAUUCAAUUGACAGAGGUGAAAUUCUUGGAUUUAUUGAAGACUAACUACUGCGAAAGUAUUUGCCAAGGAUGUUUUCAUUAAUCAAGAACGAAAGUUAGGGGAUCGAAGACGAUCAGAUACCGUCGUAGUCUUAACCAUAAACUAUGCCGACUAGGGAUCGGAUGAUGUUAAUUUUUUAAUGACUCA
rnacentral:rRNA from 1 species